rnacentral:rRNA from 1 species
CAGUAGCCACGGUAAUACGAAGGGGGCUAGCGUUGUUCGGAUUUACUGGGCGUAAAGGGCGCGUAGGCGGACUGAUAAGUCAGGGGUGAAAUCCCAAGGCUCAACCUUGGAACUGCCUUUGAUACUGUUUGUCUUGAGUUCGAGAGAGGUAAGUGGAACUGCGAGUGUAGAGGUGAAAUUCGUAGAUAUUCGCAAGAACACCAGUGGCGAAGGCGGCUUACUGGCUCGAAACUGACGCUGAGGCGCGAAAGCGUGGGGAGCAAACAGGAUUAGAGACCCCGGUAGUCCCUGUCUCUUAUAC